UAACACAUGCAAGUCAGGGGCAGCACAAGGAGCAAUCUGAGGUGGCGACCGGCGGCACGGGUGAGUAACACGUAUGCAACCUGCCUGUAAGCGGGGAAUAACCCGUUGAAAGACGGACUAAUACCGCAUAAUACUAAAUUACUGCAUGGUAAUUUAUUUAAACAUUUAUGGCUUACAGAUGGGCAUGCGCAUGAUUAGCUAGUUGGAGAGGUAACGGCUCCCCAAGGCAACGAUCAUUAGGGGUUCUGAGAGGAAGGUCCCCCCACACUGGUACUGAGACACGGACCAGACUCCUACGGGAGGCAGCAGUGAGGAAUAUUGGUCAAUGGACGAGAGUCUGAACCAGCCAAGUCGCGUGCAGGAAGAAUGUCCUAUGGAUUGUAAACUGCUUUUGCAGGGGAAUAAAGUGCAUCACGUGUGAUGUUUUGUAUGUACUCUGCGAAUAAGGAUCGGCUAACUCCGUGCCAGCCGCCGC
rnacentral:rRNA from 1 species